rnacentral:lncRNA from 1 species
GCUUUCCCCAGGUCCGGGCAUGCUAACUAACUGUACAUUGAUGUGUGACAGACAUAAGACAAAGUUAUGGAAAACUGACACCUGUUGUGAUUAUCAAGCUCAAUCAGUAAGCGUGAAAAGAGCCAUAAACUCUGCCAACCAAGAAUGCCAGCACACUAGCACCUGGACUGUGUGCGUUUGGCUUGAUAUCCUAUAGCUAGCUAAAAUCCAUAAAGAAUGGUCUACAGUGCAUUGGGCUUACUUUAUUCUAAGAGAUUCCGAUAAUUACCCUUCUGUCUGCUAGUCAGUCUCGGUGACAUAUGCACAAUCCCCCCUUUGUGAGGUGGCACUGCAGUGUCCAUAUCCCUCACUGGUCACUCCUGUCUAACUCACUGUCUGCUCCUUCUCAAGUCAAUUCUGCAGGCACAGGGUCCGAUGCAGCAUGUGGGCUCUGCCUGCACCCAAUCUUAGCAAAUGGAGAAAAGAGCAAGAAUAUCUAUGACCGUGGUGGUCAGGUAAAACCUGACAGUGAGACUGCGUUGGCUACAGAAACAAACAGAGCCCUGCUCAGACCCUAAGAAACCCACAGCAGUAAACAGAAAAUGACUGCAAAGGAGCCUUCUGGGAGGGACUGACUCUCACCUGUGAUGGGCAGCUACGCCGGCACCAUCAACGGAGACGGAGAGACCCCUGAGACUUAUACAUGCCAGGACAGCGCUUCCACUGAGCCUCCCCCAAUCACUGAAAUGAGUCUUAUAAAGCACCGGAAGAGCAGGAGCGCCACGGGUGGGUCUUACGUCACAGACCCUAUGACAAGAAAAUGGGUUACGCAGCAUUUGCGCAUCCAUCUGUGAAGGUGGCUGGCGGUUAGGCUCCUCUACAACUUUCCCGAGUGUCAUCAAGUUUACCUAUGACGACUUGGGUGUGCUUGUGAACUUUCAGCUUUGAACAUGGGGGCUCCCAGGAAGGAGCAGAAGCGGACAUGGAAGGAGGAGAGAGGAAGGCGGAAGUGAUGUGAUUAUAUUUUAAUUAAAAUGUAUUAAAGAUAAAACUAUAUAACUGAA